UAUUAGCUCAGGAGCACCGGAAGCCACCCCCCAAGUAUUUGUCUCAGUCCAAACCACAGUGUACGCUACCCACUCAGAGCUCGAUUGGCCAGGCCUGAGAGGCCGGCUAGUCAGUCCUUAACCUGGAGGCGUUUCUCUAAAGAAGUAACAUGAGAACGCACCGGUUCCGCCAAGCGUCAGGGCUUCAGUCCCGCCCUCUCCGCCUGGCAAAACGGAAGCCAUUCUGGCUUCUUCCCUAUCAUCGUCCUGAAGCCCAGAAUCCGGCCCAGCACCCCACAGUCACUCACAGCAAAACACAAACAGGGCGCGCAGCUGCUGGUUUCGCUGGUCAAUGGCUUCGUUCACAGAUGGGAAGUCAUUGAGGAUCAGGAACUGCUUGAGAUCAGAUACCAGCUUCAUCAGUGACUCACCAGCUCGGACCUGCCACCAUCAUAAUCAGGCAGAAUCUAGACAUGUACCCAGACCCCAGGGAAAACCAGUUCCUGCCUUCUCGUAUGGCCUCGGAACAGCGUCCACGUACCUUGGCGG